rnacentral:rRNA from 1 species
AGGGAAUCUUCGGCAAUGGGCGCAAGCCUGACCGAGCAACGCCGCGUGAGCGAAGAAGGCCUUCGGGUUGUAAAGCUCAGUCACCCGGGAAGAGAGACCAAGGGAGGGAAUGCCCUUGGAGAGACGGUACCGGGAGAGGAAGCUCCGGCUAACUACGUGCCAGCAGCCGCGGUAAUACGUAGGGAGCAAGCGUUGUCCGGAAUCACUGGGCGUAAAGCGUGCGUAGGCGGUUUGUUAAGUCUGAAGUGAAAGGCCAUGGCUCAACCAUGGGAAUGCUUUGGAAACUGGCAGACUUGAGUACUGGAGAGGCAAGGGGAAUUCCACGUGUAGCGGUGAAAUGCGUAGAGAUGUGGAGGAAUACCAGUGGCGAAGGCGCCUUGCUGGACAGUGACUGACGCUGAGGCACGAAAGCGUGGGGAGCAAAC